UUAUGCCCAGCCUUGGACUUUGCCUCAACAAUAAUAGGAAUAGUUUCUGAGGGAAGGCUGUCUUCAGGACAGUGCAAGGAAGGGCUUUAUGCCCAGCCUUGGACUUUACCUCAACAAUAAUAGGAAUAGUUUCUGAGGGAAGGCUGUCUUCAGGACAGUGCAAAAAAGGGCUUUAUGCCCAGCCUUGGACUUUACCUCAACAAUAAUAGGAAUAGUUUCUGAGGGAAGGCUGUCUUCAGGACAUUGCAAAAAAGGGCUUUAUGCCCAGCCUUGGACUUUGCCUCAACAAUAAUAGGAAUAGUUUCUGAGGGAAGGCUGUCUUCAGGACAGUGCAAAGGAGUUUACCUCAACAAUAAUAGGAAUAGUUUCUGAGGGAAGGCUGUCUUCAGGACAGUGCAAAAAAGGGCUUUAUGCCCAGCCUUGGACUUUGCCUCAACAAUAAUAGGAAUAGUUUCUGAGGGAAGGCUGUCUUCAGGACAGUGCAAGGAAAGGCUUUAUGCCCAGCCUUGGACUUUACCUCAACAAUAAUAGGAAUAGUUUCUGAGGGAAGGCUGUCUUCAGGACAGUGCAAAAAAGGGCUUUAUGCCCAGCCUUGGACUUUGCCUCAACAAUAAUAGGAAUAGUUUCUGAGGGAAGGCUGUCUUCAGGACAGUGCAAGGAAAGGCUUUAUGCCCAGCCUUGGACUUUACCUCAACAAUAAUAGGAAUAGUUUCUGAGGGAAGGCUGUCUUCAGGACAGUGCAAAAAAGGGCUUUAUGCCCAGCCUUGGACUUUGCCUCAACAAUAAUAGGAAUAGUUUCUGAGGGAAGGCUGUCUUCAGGACAGUGCAAGGAAGGGCUUUAUGCCCAGCCUUGGACUUUGCCUCAACAAUAAUAGGAAUAGUUUCUGAGGGAAGGCUGUCUUCAGGACAGUGCAAGGAAAGGCUUUAUGCCCAGCCUUGGACUUUACCUCAACAAUAAUAGGAAUAGUUUCUGAGGGAAGGCUGUCUUCAGGACAUUGCAAAAAAGGGCUUUAUGCCCAGCCUUGGACUUUGCCUCAACAAUAAUAGGAAUAGUUUCUGAGGGAAGGCUGUCUUCAGGACAGUGCAAAGGAGUUUACCUCAACAAUAAUAGGAAUAGUUUCUGAGGGAAGGCUGUCUUCAGGACAGUGCAAAAAAGGGCUUUAUGCCCAGCCUUGGACUUUGCCUCAACAAUAAUAGGAAUAGUUUCUGAGGGAAGGCUGUCUUCAGGACAGUGCAAGGAAAGGCUUUAUGCCCAGCCUUGGACUUUACCUCAACAAUAAUAGGAAUAGUUUCUGAGGGAAGGCUGUCUUCAGGACAGUGCAAAAAAGGGCUUUAUGCCCAGCCUUGGACUUUGCCUCAACAAUAAUAGGAAUAGUUUCUGAGGGAAGGCUGUCUUCAGGACAGUGCAAGGAAAGGCUUUAUGCCCAGCCUUGGACUUUACCUCAACAAUAAUAGGAAUAGUUUCUGAGGGAAGGCUGUCUUCAGGACAGUGCAAAAAAGGGCUUUAUGCCCAGCCUUGGACUUUGCCUCAACAAUAAUAGGAAUAGUUUCUGAGGGAAGGCUGUCUUCAGGACAGUGCAAGGAAGGGCUUUAUGCCCAGCCUUGGACUUUGCCUCAACAAUAAUAGGAAUAGUUUCUGAGGGAAGGCUGUCUUCAGGACAGUGCAAGGAAAGGCUUUAUGCCCAGCCUUGGACUUUACCUCAACAAUAAUAGGAAUAGUUUCUGAGGGAAGGCUGUCUUCAGGACAGUGCAAAAAAGGGCUUUAUGCCCAGCCUUGGACUUUGCCUCAACAAUAAUAGGAAUAGUUUCUGAGGGAAGGCUGUCUUCAGGACAGUGCAAAAAAGGGCUUUAUGCCCAGCCUUGGACUUUGCCUCAACAAUAAUAGGAAUAGUUUCUGAGGGAAGGCUGUCUUCAGGACAGUGCAAGGAAAGGCUUUAUGCCCAGCCUUGGACUUUACCUCAACAAUAAUAGGAAUAGUUUCUGAGGGAAGGCUGUCUUCAGGACAGUGCAAAAAAGGGCUUUAUGCCCAGCCUUGGACUUUGCCUCAACAAUAAUAGGAAUAGUUUCUGAGGGAAGGCUGUCUUCAGGACAGUGCAAGGAAAGGCUUUAUGCCCAGCCUUGGACUUUACCUCAACAAUAAUAGGAAUAGUUUCUGAGGGAAGGCUGUCUUCAGGACAGUGCAAAAAAGGGCUUUAUGCCCAGCCUUGGACUUUGCCUCAACAAUAAUAGGAAUAGUUUCUGAGGGAAGGCUGUCUUCAGGACAGUGCAAAAAAGGGCUUUAUGCCCAGCCUUGGACUUUACCUCAACAAUAAUAGGAAUAGUUUCUGAGGGAAGGCUGUCUUCAGGACAGUGCAAAAAAGGGCUUUAUGCCCAGCCUUGGACUUUGCCUCAACAAUAAUAGGAAUAGUUUCUGAGGGAAGGCUGUCUUCAGGACAGUGCAAGGAAGGGCUCUAUGCCCAGACUUGGACUUUACCUCACUAGAAUAAUAAUCUCUGUUGCCUCAGGAAAAGGAGGAAACCACUUAAGCCAUGCUACUCUAUCACAAGAAAACUUUUUGUGAAAAUGUGGGCUUCAAGCCCCCUGCUAAAAAACAGUCUCUGAGGGGAAAUGGAAUUUCUAAGUGGGGAGUUCACCUCUCUGCUUGUGUUUCAUCUUGCCAAAAAAACCUCAACUCCCCUCUGAGGAUGCUGCAGCCGUGCUGACGUGUACAAAAGCCCUGCCACCUCAUUGCCCACAUUUAUCGCAUCUUGUCUGCAGAGGGUAAAACGCGACAGAUUCUCCCCGUCCUCAGAACGCUGGGGCGCCACAGUCUUCUGCAUCACAGUGAAAACCUGUCCACUAUUAGAGCGUUCUUUCUCUCUGCAUCCUAAUGUUAUAACUAUGGACAGCGUAGGGCAGGACUUCUGAGCGCAACGGCACAGGGGCUGUAGCAGAGAAUUCUGUGAGGCCAGGAGCUGUGUAACUACAGACUGGGCCAUUUUUGUCUGAGAAAACUCAGUGCUAUUUGAGGCUGUCAAAAGAAACCUGAGACUUUUUUAUUCUCCCGACAGCUGUGUGUUAGGCAGCAUAACUCCUAAGAUAGUGGCUGGCUUGAAUGGAACACCCUUCAUGCACGUUAGAAGCUUCAGGCUUCUAGAUCUGCCAACACCUUUCUGAGGCAGCAUGAUCUCUAACUUUCCAGUGGGCUUGAAUGGAACAUGCUUCAUGCAUGUGGGAAGCUUCAGGCUUCUAUAUUCUCCCAACUGAAGAGAGAAUUCUCUUCUUAGCCUCUCAAAUUUGGUUUAAUGAGUUAUUAGUUUUUAUCUUUUUAUAUCUGUGAAUUGCAACAGCCAUCUAGGUGAGGCAGUAUAAAAACCUAAUACAUAACACAGCUGUAGGAGGCAGCACAGUCUCUAAUAUGGUGGCUGGCUUGUAAGGAAGACGCUUCAUGUAUGUUAGAAAAAUUAGACAUCUUUAUAAUUCUGAUAGUCUUAUGAGGCAGCAUCUCCGAUUUAGUGGCUGACCUGAAUGAAUACACUUCAUGUGUGUUCUGUUCUACCCCCUCAACAACGCUUUGUGGCAGCCUUGGCAACAAGAAAUAGAAUCAGCGCAUGUGUCCAUUAACUACUAUGCCUGAGUAGUGCUUUUGGAAUAUUUUAUCUUUCCAAGAAACCUGAGUGACAGGUAACUCUCAAAAACAGAGACUGGAGCAACAAAAAAAGGAAACACAGGAUUUAGGACAAAAUAUACUAGAAAAAGAAUCCCUAGCUGCACCAUUGCAUUUUGUGAUAAUGCUUUUUAUAAGAGGGCUGAAGAAUGUAUACCAAAAAUGUUUAUUCAAUAUUUAUUAGACAAUGAAAAUUACAAUCUGAAAAAAAACAAAGAACCGGGGAAGGAAUUUAGGCAAAAUUCCAAUAAGAUUAGACUGUGAAUUGCCCUUACUUCAGAAUAAAUGAUACAUCUUGACAACGUAUCCUCUUGACAACUCAUCAUUGCGAAUUUGGCAAGAAGAAACCGAGUUGGCCCACGUGUCCCAAUGAGUUCUGUGCCCGAGUUUGCUUCUGGACCGUUUUCUCCUCCCAAGAGGCCUACCUGCCAGACUUCAAGAACCAAUGAAAGGAGGCAACGUCACAGAAGCCAAGAAGACAUGAAAGCAGCCAACCACACACAGACACACACACACACGAGAAGCGUCAGGCUUCCUUAUUGUCCCAAGAAUACUAAAUGUUCUCUGGGCAGCUCACAACACAACAUGGCAAAACAUACAAUACACACACCUACAACAUGACAGACAAAGCACACACACACACACACACACACACACGAUAAGCGUCAGGCUUCCUUAUUGUCCCAAGAAUACUAAAUGUUAUCUGGGCAGCUCACAACACAACAUGGCAAAACAUCCAAUAAACACACCUACAACAUGACAGACAAAGCACAACACAAAACAGCUGUGGUAGGGAGCAUGACCUCUAAAAUAGUGACUUCCUGUAAUGGAACAUGCUUCAUGCAUGUUAGAAGCUGCAGGCUUUAUUCUCCCAAACAACUAUGAGGGACUACAGACACUCUAAGGUGGCGGCUGCCUUUAAUAGAAUACGCUUCAUGCGUGUUCCAUUGUAUCCUCUUGACAACACAUCAUAGCAAAUUUGGCAAGAAGAAACCGAGUCGGCCCACAUGUCCCAAUGACUUCCAUGCCCAAGUUUGCUUCUGGACCGUUUUCUCCUGCCAAGAGGCCUGCCUGGCAGAUUUCUUUCCUCCAGACUCCAGGAAAGAAGUAAAGGAGUCUCAAGAGAGAAUGAGAAGAAGCAACAACAUGCAAUAUAAGCCAAACCAAGUGCUGCAGAAGUCAAGCCCUAGAAGACACUGGAUAUAGGGGCUCUCCACAGGAAUCUUUAUUCUCCCUCUUUCUUUAUUCUUCCACCAGCUUUGUCAGGCAUCAUCAUCUGAAAUGGUGGCUGUCCUGAAUUUAACAUCCUUCUCACGUGUUGGAAGCUUCAGGCUUCUAUAUUCUCUUGAUGGAUUUGUUGGGCAGUGUCAUCUCUAAGAUGGUGGCUGUCUUGAAUGGAACAUGCUUCAUGCGUGUUCCAUUCUGUCCCCUGAGCAAUGGUUUGGCAAGAAGAAACAGAAUUGGUGCACCUUUCUCAAGGACCUCCAUGCCCUAGUGGUGAUGUUGAAACGUUUUAUUAUUAUCCUAUUAUCCAGUAUUCAAUCCUUAGCAACCUCCUAAGGUUAUAAGUAAAUAAGAUAAGAAUUCAAUAUUUAACACAAUUCAAAAUAAAUGACAUAACUUGCUCUUUUCCAACAGAUUUCAGGAAAGAAUGAAAGAACGCAAUGACACACAAGCCAAGGAAGAACAGCAUGCAUCUCAGGCAGGAACGGAAGAAGGUAGCAAGAGAAGUCAGCCUUGGGGCUGCAGAACUCAAGGCCCAGAAAUCACUAAAUUUCAGGGGUUGCCAACAGAAGCUUCAGGUUUCUUUAUUUUUUCAACAGCAGUGGGAGGCAGCAUAAACUCUAAGAUUGUGGCUCUCUUGAAUUGAACAUGCUUGAUGAGGGUUGCUUUCUGUCUCAGUAAGCUUUUGCGGUAAGUUUUGGCACAAAGAAAGAAGAGUGGGCACAUGUUUCCUUACAACUUCCAUGCCCAGGUGCUGACGUUUGAAUGAAGCGGCCUCUGUGAUAGGUAAGGCUCAGAGACAGAGAUUGGACCAAGGUGAAGAGCACACAAGUGAACAAAAAGAGAACUCUCAGGGUAUAAGGGCUGCCUAGUGUAAAAAUGGGUUUAAAAUGGCCCACAAUUGAAAAUAAAAGUUGUAUCUUGUUCUUUCCUAACAGAUUUCAAGCAACAGUGCAAGGAGGCUACAAAAGUCAAGCCAGGCUCAACCGAUCUCGUUUGUCAUGAGGAAGAACUUCAUUAAAAAAAACCCUGACAAAUCUCUAAGACAGUGGCUCAUAUGAAGAGGAACAUGCUUCAUGCAUAUUGCAUUCUAUCCUCAGAAAGUUCUGUGAAACCCGGGGCUAUGUCACUCAAGGCUACUGGCUUGAGUUCCUUCAGUCUCUAAAAAUCGUGAAUCAAGCUGUAGAACUGAUGCUUCAUGUGUGUUCUCCAAACAGCUUUGUGGACCAUCAUGAUCUCUGAAAUGGUGGCUGGCUUGCAAGGAAAGGAACAUGCUUUAUGUGUGUUCCAUCUUAUCUUCCCAAGUACAUUUUGCAGCAUGCCUGGCAGGAAGAAAGAGAGUUCGUGCACAUUUCACAGUGAUCUCCAUUCCUGAGUGGUGAUUUUGGUUCAAAGAUAGAGUUAAAAAGAUGGUGUGCCUGAAAAACGGAGACAGUACCAAGGUAAAGAAAGCCCAACCAACAAAAAGGGAACUCUCAGGGUAUAACGGAAAGGUGUACCAAUGCCUUAUAUGAUGAGGCUCCUCAUCAGGACUGAAGAAUAUAUACAAGAUCGAUAUAGUCAGUGGAUGACAAGCAGACUAACUUCCUCAAUAAUACCACUCAUGAGUAAAAUUUCAAGAAAGAAUGAAAGGAGGCAACAAUGCAGAAGCCAUGUCAAGCAAAACUUUGUGAGCCCUUUUGGGUCAAAGAGCCCUCUUCUUUCCUUACAUAAAUCACUCUGAGAACACCUUUUUGAAAAGUGGCGUAUAAAUAUUUGUAAUCAUAAUAAUAAUUGUGCUAUCAGUUUAAGGCUCUUUUUCAGAUAAAUAUCUAAGACACUGGCUGUAACCAGAGGCUUCAAGCACGAGUUUCUUACUUGCUUGAUCUUCACAGAGCCCUGGGAGGUAAGUUAGUUUGGAAUAUGCUUUGCUGACAAACUGUUAAUGCCUAAUAAAGAAAGAAAUAUACAAACAAUAUUUCUAUCCUACACAUUCAGCACACUGCUGCUAAACCUAUCACUUCUAAAUACAACCCUGUUCUACUAAAUGGAAGGAAAAAACACCUGAAACACUAAAUGCAAAAUAAAAUAAAAUAAGAAAUGAACCCACUACUAAAUGCAAAAGACUCCCAACCUCGCUAAUAAAUGCAAAACACAGAUAAGCACAAUAAAAAGAAUUAAACAAGAACCACAGAUAAAAUAGAAAUAACACAACAGCCAGGAUUAAAAACAUUAAAACGGGAAACCCAGUUACAAGCACCAUUAAAAUUACAAGAAAAUUACUGUAUUUGAAACUGAGAUUAGAGGAAAAGUAGAAUUUUUCUUUGGGCAAAUUUUCUGAGAUGGCUGCUUUGCGUGAGUAGGUAUAUUUUCAGUGGAUCUGAAAAAAUAUCUUUGUAAUGUUUGGAACUAACACUAAUAUUUAACACUUGCACAUUUGAGGAUAUUUUGUGGUGCAUUUUGAAUGUUGAUACAUUUAUCAGUUCCAAAGAAGAGAGAGUAAAAAAGUGUCUUCAACUUUUUUUUUUACUCCAGCAGGUUGAUCUAAAUGGAUUGUUAUGUGGAGUAUGAAUUCCUCAGAAUUCAAAAUCAAAAGUGUAUAAAAAUGACUAAUGUCAAAGAGGUAUUUCAGCCAUGUUGAAAUUUUCACCCCAGCAGCUAGCUUUUACCUGGACUGCCAUGUAGAUUGUGGGUGAAUCCCCACUUAGGAGGAUAUUGCAAGAAAUCAGAAGUGUAUAAAAAUGGCUAAUGUCAAAGAGGUAUGUAUUCAUGUUUAUAUCUUUUUUCCAGAUGUUCUUUUCCCCUUGCAGGUUGGUUUAUAUGCAUUGCUAUGUAGACUGGGGAUGAAUUUAGAUUUCAUGUGAAUAACCUACCCCGGAGGGCAGACUGUUUUAAAAUGCUUGUUGGUGAUAUGUAUUGACCUAUAUUUAGAUGUUUUUAUUUGCUUAUAAGGAUGUUGGAUGUACAAUUUCAAGCUGUGUAAACUAGUCUCUAUAGCUGCUUUUCCUCCCAAAAGAGACUUAUGUGGACAUAUUGCAAAUUGUUCUUACUGUAAUAUUGUAGGGACGUAGGAGCUGAAGUCCUACGCUCAGGGUGAAGUGCUGGUAACCUCUCCCCUGUAGUUUCAGGAGUUGCUGCCACGGGCAGUGAUGCUUCCUUGGUUUACAUUAUUGAUGGACAGGGUCAUCUCCUACUACUUGGAAAUAGUUCUCUGUGUUUUCUUUAUGUGAACAAUCUGUGGAUUUAAUACUCUGUAAAACAUUCAUGUGGAACCCA